rnacentral:rRNA from 1 species
GGGGGGGGGGGGCUAUACAUGCAGUCGAGCGGACAGAUGGGAGCUUGCUCCCUGAUGUUAGCGGCGGACGGGUGAGUAACACGUGGGUAACCUGCCUGUAAGACUGGGAUAACUCCGGGAAACCGGGGCUAAUACCGGAUGCUUGUUUGAACCGCAUGGUUCAAACAUAAAAGGUGGCUUCGGCUACCACUUACAGAUGGACCCGCGGCGCAUUAGCUAGUUGGUGAGGUAAUGGCUCACCAAGGCAACGAUGCGUAGCCGACCUGAGAGGGUGAUCGGCCACACUGGGACUGAGACACGGCCCAGACUCCUACGGGAGGCAGCAGUAGGGAAUCUUCCGCAAUGGACGAAAGUCUGACGGAGCAACGCCGCGUGAGUGAUGAAGGUUUUCGGAUCGUAAAGCUCUGUUGUUAGGGAAGAACAAGUGCC